GAAAUUCCUCUUGCGGUGCUUGCCUACCAGUUCCUGUAACCCGUAAUCCUUCGUGACUUCGUCCCUUCCUCUUCCCGUUCUGCCUCCACCUCUGUCAGCAGAAGAAGUCUCCACCGCUCCACCGUCCACGAUCCGCUCCGCCAUUCCGCUCCACCUCGAACCAGGCUCGACCCUGCGACCUCGGACCCCCGCGACCGCGACCCCGCAAACCUCGACUCGAGCCCUUUUAUUUGACCUCAGAGUCUCAGCCGAAGCGACGUCGGCUCGGUCCUCGACCUCAGACCAAGUCGACCUCGAACCCGACUCGACCCCACGACCGCCACCGCCACCGCCACCGCCACCCUGCGAGUCUGCGACCCUCGAGCCGUUGACCUUGGGCCCUCGACCUCAAGCCCUCUCUAACUGUUCAGACAUUGCGACGUCACCGAGACCUCAGACGAAGUCGACCUCGACCCUGGCUUGACCGCGCGACCUCAACCUUUGGAAGCCUGGGGGAUGGAUCGUAUGAGUUUUCAAAAGAGACUUGUGUUGGAGAAUUUCCCGAUUUGUAUUAUUUGACUGAGUAUGAAUACCUGAUUGAGGAAGACAUGAGCAAUUGAUGAAUACCUACUUUGGAAGUGCAAUGAUAUGAUGCUAUUACAAGUUAUUGUAAUCUAUUGUAAGACUAGACUUAUAUCUCAUGAUCUUUGUACUUCCUAGAUUAUGGUCCAUUUCUAUGAAUGAAAUGAGAAUGGUUAACUUUUUAGAAAUU